rnacentral:rRNA from 1 species
UAGCGGCGGACGGGUGAGUAACACGUGGGUAACCUGCCUGUAAGACUGGUACAACUCCGGGAAACCGGGGCUAAUACCGGAUGGUUGUUUGAACCGCGUGGUUCAUACAUAAAAGGUGGCUUCGGCUACCACUUACAGAUGGACCCGCGGCGCACUAGCUAUUUGGUGAGGUAACGGUCCGCCUAGGGAACCAUGCGUAUCCCACCUGACAGGGUGAUCGGCCACACUGGGACUGAUACCCGGCCCACACUCCUACGGGAGGCACCAUUAGGGAAUCUUCCGCAAUGGACGAAAGUCUGACGGAACAACGCCUCGUGAUUGAUGAAGGUUUUCGGAUCGUAACGCUCUAUUGUUACGGAAGAACAACUACCGUUCGAAUAGGGCGGGACCUUGACGGUACCUAACCAUAA